rnacentral:rRNA from 1 species
AUUGAACGCUGGCGGCAGGCUUAACACAUGCAAGUCGAACGAGUGGCGGACGGGUGAGUAAUGCUUGGGAAUCUAGCUUACGGAGGGGGAUAACUACGGGAAACUGUAGAUAAUACCGCUAACCAUAGGAUGAGCCCAAGGGGGAUUAGGUAGUUGGUGAGGUAAAGGCUCACAAAGCCGACGAUCUCUAGCUGGUCUGAGAGGAUGACCGGCCACACUGGGACUGAGACACGGCCCAGACGCCUACGGGAGGCAGCAGUGGGGAAUAUUGCGCAAUGGGGGCAACCUGACGCAGCCAUGCCGCGUGAAUGAAGAAGGCCUUCGGGUUGUAAAGUUCUUUCGGUAGCGAGGCGUUAACUACAGAAGUAGCACCGGCUAACUCCGUGCCAGCAGCCGCGGUAAUUC